GUGAGGAAUAUUGGUCAAUGGGCGAGAGCCUGAACCAGCCAAGUAGCGUGAGGGAUGACUGCCCUAUGGGUUGUAAACCUCUUUUGCAGGGGGGUAAAGUGGUUCACGUGUGGACCAUUGCAAGUACCCUGCGAAUAAGGAUCGGCUAACUCCGUGCCAGCAGCCGCGGUAAUACGGAGGAUCCGAGCGUUAUCCGGAUUUAUUGGGUUUAAAGGGUGCGUAGGCGGGGGUUUAAGUCAGCUGUGAAAUGCCGGGGCCCAACCAGGGAAAUGCAGUUGAAACUGGACAUCUUGAGAGUACAUAAGGAAGGCGGAAUUCGUGGUGUAGCGGUGAAAUGCAUAGAUAUCACGAAGAACUCCGAUUGCGAAGGCAGCUUUCCGGGGUACAUCUGACGCUGAAGCUCGAAAGUGCGGGAAUCAAACAGGAUUAGAAACCCGAGUAGUCC
rnacentral:rRNA from 1 species